rnacentral:rRNA from 1 species
AGAGUUUGAUCCUGGCUCAGAUUGAACGCUGGCGGCAUGCCUUACACAUGCAAGUCGAGCGGCAGCGCGGGGGCAACCCUGGCGGCGAGUGGCGAACGGGUGAGUAAUACAUCGGAACGUGUCCUGGAGUGGGGGAUAGCUCGGCGAAAGCCGGAUUAAUACCGCAUACGCUCUGAGGAGGAAAGCGGGGGAUCUUCGGACCUCGCGCUCAAGGGGCGGCCGAUGGCGGAUUAGCUAGUUGGUGGGGUAAAGGCCUACCAAGGCGACGAUCCGUAGCUGGUCUGAGAGGACGACCAGCCACACUGGGACUGAGACACGGCCCAGACUCCUACGGGAGGCAGCAGUGGGGAAUUUUGGACAAUGGGGGAAACCCUGAUCCAGCAAUGCCGCGUGUGUGAAGAAGGCCUUCGGGUUGUAAAGCACUUUUGUUCGGGAAGAAAUCCUUCGAGCUAAUACCUUGAGGGGAUGACGGUACCGGAAGAAUAAGCACCGGCUAACUACGUGUCAGCAGCCGCGGUAAUACGUAGGGUGCGAGCGUUAAUCGGAAUUACUGGGCGUAAAGCGUGCGCAGGCGGUUCGCUAAGACCGAUGUGAAAUCCCCGGGCUUAACCUGGGAACUGCAUUGGUGACUGGCGGGCUAGAGUAUGGCAGAGGGGGGUAGAAUUCCACGUAGCAGUGAAAUGCGUAGAGAUGUGGAGGAAUACCGAUGGCGAAGGCAGCCCCCUGGGCCAAUACUGACGCUCAUGCACGAAAGCGUGGGGAGCAAACAGAAUUAGAUACCCCCGUAGUCC